rnacentral:rRNA from 1 species
GAUUGAACGCUGGCGGCAUGCUUUACACAUGCAAGUCGGACGGCAGCACAGAGAAGCUUGCUUCUUGGGUGGCGAGUGGCGAACGGGUGAGUAAUAUAUCGGAACGUACCGAGUAAUGGGGGAUAACUAAUCGAAAGAUUAGCUAAUACCGCAUAUUCUCUGAGGAGGAAAGCAGGGGACCUUCGGGCCUUGCGUUAUUCGAGCGGCCGAUAUCUGAUUAGCUAGUUGGUGGGGUAAAGGCCUACCAAGGCGACGAUCAGUAGCGGGUCUGAGAGGAUGAUCCGCCACACUGGGACUGAGACACGGCCCAGACUCCUACGGGAGGCAGCAGUGGGGAAUUUUGGACAAUGGGCGCAAGCCUGAUCCAGCCAUGCCGCGUGUCUGAAGAAGGCCUUCGGGUUGUAAAGGACUUUUGUCAGGGAAGAAAAGGCUGUUGCUAAUACCGACAGCUGAUGACGGUACCUGAAGAAUAAGCACCGGCUAACUACGUGCCAGCAGCCGCGGUAAUACGUAGGGUGCGAGCGUUAAUCGGAAUUACUGGGCGUAAAGCGAGCGCAGACGGUUACUUAAGCAGGAUGUGAAAUCCCCGGGCUCAACCUGGGAACUGCGUUCUGAACUGGGUGACUAGAGUGUGUCAGAGGGAGGUAGAAUUCCACGUGUAGCAGUGAAAUGCGUAGAGAUGUGGAGGAAUACCGAUGGCGAAGGCAGCCUCCUGGGAUAACACUGACGUUCAUGCUCGAAAGCGUGGGUAGCAAACAGGAUUAGAUACCCUGGUAGUCCACGCCCUAAACGAUGUCAAUUAGCUGUUGGGCAACUUGAUUGCUUAGUAGCGUAGCUAACGCGUGAAAUUGACCGCCUGGGGAGUACGGUCGCAAGAUUAAAACUCAAAGGAAUUGACGGGGACCCGCACAAGCGGUGGAUGAUGUGGAUUAAUUCGAUGCAACGCGAAGAACCUUACCUGGUCUUGACAUG